UUUGUUUUUUGGUUUUU
rnacentral:sRNA from 1 species